CAGAGCCCAGGACAGCGAGACUAUCCCGACAGCUUCUCCUCAGGGCCCAGUUAGAACUCCAGGUCGCUAAAUCUCAACCCAUGCACUCUCUAAUACCGUGCCAGACGCCGGGCCUUCCCCACCACCUCAUCUGCCUGGGCACGUAAAGGGCUCGGUGCGGCAGCUGCAGCUUUGCCUGUCUGUUAAAGGCCAGAGUGUCCCAUCUCUGAAAUGACGGAGGGAACAGAGCUCAAGCUUGAAUAACUGAGCCCAGCCCGGCGGUCCCUGAGAUUCGCCAGAGAAUAAGCCUGAUGGGAUGUCUGGAGAUAACGGGACACCCAACCAGCAGAUGUGAAACCUGAAAUUAGUGAUUCACCAAAGGAAAUGAUGAACUAUGAUCCAAGGUCUGUCUAACCUAUACUUGUCUCCACAUGAUAGGGCAGUAUUUCAUUUCUCCCAAUAGUGAUAUUCAGCCUCUUUAAAGCCUCUUUUAGCAAAAUAUUAUAAUAAACUCUUCUCUAAUAAAC